GGGCUCGCUUUGACAGCACAUAUACUAAAAUUGGAACACUGCUGAGAGGAUUAGUGUAGACCCCUGCACAAGGAUGGCACACAAAUUCGUGAAAUGUUCGAUAUUUCA